rnacentral:rRNA from 1 species
CCUACGGGUGGCAGCAGUGAGGAAUAUUGGUCAAUGGACGAGAGUCUGAACCAGCCAAGUAGCGUGAAGGAUGAUUGCCCUAUGGGUUGUAAACUUCUUUUAUAUGGGAAUAACAUGCUCUACGUGUGGGACUUUGUAUGUACCAUAUGAAUAAGGAUCGGCUAACUCCGUGCCAGCAGCCGCGGUAAUACGGAGGAUCCGAGCGUUAUCCGGAUUUAUUGGGUUUAAAGGGAGCGUAGGUGGAUUGUUAAGUCUGUUGUGAAAGUUUCGGGCUCAACCCUAAAAUUGCAGUUGAAACUGGCGUGCUUGAGUACGCGAGAGGUAGGCGGAAUUCGUGGUGUAGCGGUGAAAUGCUUAGAUAUCACGAAGAACUCCGAUUGCGAAGGCAGCUUGCUGGACCGCAACUGACGCUGAGGCUCGAAAGUGUGGGUAUCGAACAGGAUUAGAUACCCCGGUAGUC